CAACUCUAGGUGAAAGAUGCCAGG
rnacentral:piRNA from 1 species